UCCCUGGUAGCUUAGCUGGUAAAGAAUCCGCCUGAGGUGCGGGAGACCUGGGUUUGAUCCCUGGGUUGGGAA
rnacentral:tRNA from 1 species